UACGUAGGGUGCGAGCGUUAAUCGGAAUUACUGGGCGUAAAGCGUGCGCAGGCGGUUUUGUAAGCCAGGUGUGAAAUCCCCGGGCUCAACCUGGGAAUGGCAUUUGGGACUGCAAGGCUGGAGUGUGGCAGAGGAGACUGGAAUUCCUGGUGUAGCAGUGAAAUGCGUAGAUAUCAGGAGGAAUACCGAUGGCGAAGGCAGGUCUCUGGGCUGACACUGACGCUCAUGCACGAAAGCGUGGGGCGCAAACAGG
rnacentral:rRNA from 1 species